UUAUUAGUCCCCAAGGACUGUAUGGGUGUGUAUACUGUGAUUGGUUGACAUCUUCCUGAGUCUUCUGUCAGCUUUGUUACACCCUGUUAGGGCAGGACAAAAUAUACCUUCACCAUUCGUGUGGGGAAUUUAGAUUUGUGGCCUCAUGGAGUUUCAUCAACGCUUAAGCCCCACCCACUAAACCUGAGCAGAAGUCUAAUCAGCCCAUAAUAACUGAAAACACCUGUGUGGAUGUUCACUUAGAGCCUCUAAUUGUAUUUGUAGAACUAAAGCCAAAGCUGUCUCAUUAAACAUUUCUCUGCAGUUUUAAAUGCCACCAAAGUCAGUCCUCUUAAGGAUGCCCUCAGCAUGUUCACUUCAUAUACAUAUUGAAAAUGAUUUUGAGACAUUUAAUUGCAAAACUUCAGGAUGCAUUAGAUAAGCUUAGGUCAAUAAAGCUGCCAUCAAAUGCACUAAUAAUUGGCAAUUGUGUUUUUAGGACAUAUUGCUACAGACUAAUUAACAUUCGUAAUGUCCUGUUUUUUUGAAAAUGUAUUACUUUGUCUUACAGGACGUGGUGUAUUUGCCCUAUCUUCAUUCUUCAAAGGAGAUUUUGUACUGGAAUACAGAGGAGACAUGAUAGAUGAUGCAGAAUCUCAAUGGAGAAGGUGCAUUUAUCACUCAUCAUGUGUUGCAUUCAUGCUUCAUUCAAGUGGAGAGGGAGAACAUGGUGAUGACCAUGAAUGCAGCUGA
rnacentral:lncRNA from 1 species